rnacentral:rRNA from 1 species
UACGUAGGUGGCAAGCGUUGUCCCGGAUUUAUUGGGUUUAAAGGGUGCGUAGGCGGCCCUGUAAGUCAGUGCUGAAAUAUCCCAGCUUAACUGGGAGGUGGCAUUGAUACUGCGGGGCUAGAGUACAGAUGAGGUAGGCGGAAUUGACGGUGUAGCGGUGAAAUGCUUAGAUAUCGUCAAGAACACCUAUAGCGAAGGCAGCUUACUAGGCUGUAACUGACGCUGAGGCACGAAAGUGUGGGAUCAAACAGG